GAUUCUAAAAAUAUUUUCUUUCUUUGAGAGAUGCUGAAAGCGUGGUGUUUCUCAGAGAGGCAGGGGUGAGCAUUCACGGGCGAUUUAUAGAGAUUGUUUUGUUUCCCUGAGCAUAUUGUGCUUGUGUGAUGGACGCAGUGCUCGGGAUUAAUUUUAAUCCCUUAUAUUUCAAACUUUGGACAAGAAAAUCCUCUAGGUAGUUUGUUAUGGUUGUGGAGCGGACCGGCUUAAUGUAGACGGCCACUGGGCAAAUCAAAUGAACUCCUUUGGUCUGUGGCCAAAAGACCCUUCUUAUUCUCUAUGAGAAUGGCUGAGUGGGGCCGUGUGUGGCACUGUCACCACGAGGACAGCAGCAUAGUGACACGGCCAGGCAGAGAGGCAUCCAGCAUUUUGCUUUGUACCUUCUUGUGUUCUCGUUCAACUCGGAAGAGAACUAUAGCCUAUAGGUUUUCUACUGAUGGCUUUGGGAGCUAAGGGUCUUUUGAUAUAGUUAAGUACUUUCUGUGUACAAAACCACAGGUACAGGUUUUGACGUUGCUAUUGGGAGGAUUGGUGUCAAACAUAUCUUUAUUAUAACUACUUGGGUAGUGUUAUUAUUACUAUUACUGUUAUCAUUAUUAUUAGGGUUUUUUUUGUUUUGAUUUUUCAGGCUGUGUUGUAUAAAAACAAAACAAAAUCAAACAAAACAAAUUCUUCCUGGACCAUGCCCUUCAGGUCUAAACAGCAGUGUUGGUCUAAAUUCUGGUGAACUCUAAAAAGACAAAGAUACCAUAGUUGUCUUAGUCAGGGUUACUAUUCCUGCACAAAACAUCAUGACCAAGAAGCAAGUUGGGGAAGAAAUGGUUUAUUUAGCUUACACUUCCAAACGAAGUCAGGACAGGAACUCACACAGGGUAGGAACUUGGUCACAGGAGUGGAUGUAGAAGCUGUGGAGGGGUGCUGCUUCCUGGCUUGCUUCCCCUGACUUGUUCAGCUUGCCUUCUUAUAGAACCCAGGACCACCAGCCCAGGGAUGGCACCUCUCACAAUGGGCCCUCCCACCUUGACCACUAAUUGAGAAAAUACCUCACAGCUGGAUCUCAUGGAAGCAUUUCCUCAACUGAGGCUCCUUUCUCUGUGAUAACCACAGCCUGUGUCAAGUUGAUACACAAAACUAGCCAGUUAAAGUGUAAAAGUGGUUGAGAUGAGGAGGCUCUGGCCCUCUCCACCGUCUGCCUUUAAACUACUUCUGAGCUAAGGCUCUUUCCCACCUGGCGUGCCUCGUGACCUUCUACUUUGUAAAUUAGGACGAGCUAAUAAUUUUUGAAUCAGAGGCUGCAUGAGGAAGGAAUACCAAGUGGGACUCAAAUGUGUCACUUAUCUUGGACAGAAGGUGCUCCUGCCUUCAAAGUAAUUAAAGUUGAAUAAAUUGAGCCAUGAUAAUAAAAGGGAAAGCUACUGUUAAUAUAAAGGAUUUCCUUCUUGUACUCAUUCUGCAGAGUAGUGAGCAGAUUGGAUAUCCCCAGAGAUGGAAUAUGUUACAGGAUUCCAAUUAUGAGGAAAAUAUUAAAAGAACUUAUAAAGCAAUGGGAAGAAUGCAUUUAAUUUUUUUCUUGUCUUAACGUGUUUUUUUAUUCGCUUCUUUUUUUUUUCUUUUUUUAUUCUUUUUUUUAGUUCUCUUCAGUUGCAUGGACCCAAGCAAUUGCUCCAAGUAACAAGAAGGGGCUUCAUUCAAAAUUCUGCUUCCUUGAAUUUUACAGUCUGAUUAUGUAAGCUUAAUACAAGGAAAAGGAAAAUUUCCCUAUGUCCUCUGUUAGUCCAUUCAUUAGUACCAUAGUGAAAUACAUGAGGCAAGAUGUUUUAUAAAGAAAAGAUUUAUUUUGUCCCCUUGUUCUUUUUUUUUUAAAGAUUUAUUUAUUCAUUUUAUGUAUAUGAGUGCACUGUAGCUGUUUUCAGACACACUAGAAGAGGGCAUAGGAUUUCAUUCAGUUGGUUGUGAACCACCAUGUGGUUGCUGGGAAUUGAACUCAGGACCUCUGGAAGAGCAGGCAGUGCUCCUAACCGCUGAGCCAUCUCUCCAGCCUGACCCCUGGUUCUUGAGAUAUGAGAUCAACACUCAACACCUGGUGAUGCCUUUCUACUAGCCGAACCUCUGAUGUCCUUCAAGACUUCACAAGGCAAGAGUUAGGGACUGUGUGUAUCUGUGUAUUCGGUUCUCUUUCCCCCGUGUUCUAAAAAAGCCGCCAGUAUUUGAUCCUUUGGGCUCCACCCCCACAGCCUGACCUAUUCCUCAUUGGGUUCCAAUAUAGAUAAAACUACAGCAAUCGAGCGCUAGGGGGCGUCAUACUCAAGCCGUGCCAUAUUAUAUGCUCUGGUACCUGUCUGAGCUGGCAGAUAGCUCCCUGGAAUCCCUUGGGCUCCAUUGGCGACAAGGGUCUACAGCAAGUGGAGUUCCGGGCUGCAGGCUGGCGCUGCUGUCCUGUCCCUCCCUCCCCUGUAACAUCAGCAGUAGAAGCAAAAAGCUAUUCUGCAUUCUUUCAGAUGCCCCAGCAAGCUAGUCAUUGCUGACCCUGGAAAUAUAAAUUAGCGGCAGGCAGCGUUGCCGUUCUUGAAAUUAGAGGGCCAAAAAGAAUAGAGGAAAGAAACCUAGGCACGCCGGGGAAUUGUCCUUAAUUUGAUGACAGCAGCGAUAAGUGCACCUAUGAAAUGCUCUUUGGAAGAGGGAUUUGCAAGUUAAUUAUUAAAGACAAGCCUUUGGGGGGUUUCCUUGGAACUUACAAGUAACGGCUGCCUCCAUGCUGGAGGCUCGACUCUUUGAGCACUCUCUGCUCUACUUCAUGGUGUAAUUAUAUAAUUGCAGGUGUGUUUUCUUCUG
rnacentral:lncRNA from 1 species